GAUCCUGGCUCAGAGUGAACGCUGGCGGCGUGCUUAACACAUGCAAGUCGAACGGAUGAAAUAAGCUUGCUUAUUUCGUUAGUGGCGCACGGGUGAGUAAUGUAUAGCUAACCUGCCCUUUAGUGGGGGACAACAGAUGGAAACGUCUGCUAAUACCCCAUACUCCAGCCUAUCAUAAGGUAGGUUGGGAAAGAUUUAUUGCUAAAGGAUGGGGCUUUAUGGUAUCAGCUAGUUGGUGGGGUAACGG
rnacentral:rRNA from 1 species